CCUCCUCUAACCUCUUCAGUCCUGUGGUCAUUCUAGUCUAGAAUCCCUGCAGUACUACUAUUUGAUAGUAUUCCAUCCAUUAUAGACAUUCAUUUGGCACUUGGAUCAUGCCCCUUUUGUUGUUACUGUAUUUAAUACCCUCUCUUCUCUAGGAGAGUGAUGGGCUCCUUGAGGGUAGAGAGCUUGUCUUAAUUAAAUGCCUCUUUGUAAUCCCAUUGCCUGGCACAGAGGAUAUCUUCAGGAGUCGGCUUGAUUCUUUGAUUUGGAUCCAGUAUCAGUGUAACGGAGCAGUUGUUUAACUUAGGUUAUUUUUAUAGUGAGGACAUACCCAGAAACCCCAAAGAUAAAGUACAUCUGAAGUACAUUUGAUUAAUAAUUUCUUGUGUUGUAGGGAGAUUUGGUUCAUAUUGGUUCCUUAUUAAUUACAGCCCCUCUCCCCACCUUUGUUUUUCAGUGGGUGCUGUUGUAUCCAGUUUCUUUUGAAAAACAUGGUUUGGGCCAGAUAUGUUGACAGAAAUCAAAAUUACUAGUAUUUUUAUUUUAAAAUUCUUUGAUUAGUCAGAUGAUAUUUUCAUGGUAUAAGCCCAAAUAAAGUUAUUAAAUACUAUGUGGUAAUGUAGCCAAAUUAUUUUAAAAUGUUAACCUUGAGGUCUCUUAAGUAAAAUUUUAAAAAUACCAAUAGACAGAUACUCAGUUGUUAAUCCUUUUCACUUCUGUAUCUCAGAUUAUUAGGAAUUUUAUUAUUUCUUUGUUUAUAAAGAUUUCUUUAUGGUGCAGGCUGAUGUUUGAUAACUGUGUUUAUUGUGUUUGCUGCAGUUAUCAAAUANNNNNGACAUUUAUAUGCAGUGAAGAAUUAAUUAAAAAUACUUUUUGAUGUUUAUAGAAACGGACACUUUUCUUAGUAUCCCCACACUCACUGGGGAUAAUUUUGUUUAAUUCAUAUUUGAAACUGUUUACAUUUUAUCUGAUAGCAGUGUCUUCAAGGCACAUAUGUUUAUAUUAGACUUAUGUUGUGAUUUCUUACAAAAUGCUCAACUAGUAAAACUAAAAUCUUAAUUUUGCUCUGAAGCCUGGCUUAUAGUAUUCUGGAGCCAUUAGUUUGACAAAGCAUUGAAAUGAUACUGCUGCUGCAUUACUGAAAAGCUUAGAUAAUUGUGGCAGGGGACUUGUAGAAUACAAGGUUUUUUCCUCUUCAAAAAUUUUUAUUUAAAUUUCUUAGCAUAAUUUGCCGAGAAGGCGAUGGCGCCCCACUCCAAUACUCUCGCCUGGAAAAUCCCAUGGACGAAGGAGUCUAGUGGGCUGCAGCCCAUGGGGUCGCUAAGAGUCGG
ensembl:lncRNA